GAUGAACGCUGGCGGCGUGCCUAAUACAUGCAAGUCGAGCGAACGGACGAGAAGCUUGCUUCUCUGAUGUUAGCGGCGGACGGGUGAGUAACACGUGGAUAACCUACCUAUAAGACUGGGAUAACUUCGGGAAACCGGAUCUAAUACCGGAUGAUAUUUUGAACCGCAUGGUUCAAAAGUGAAAGACGGUCUUGCUGUCACUUAUAGAUGGAUCCGCGCUGCAUUAGCUAGUUGGUAAGGUAACGGCUUACCAAGGCAACGAUGCAUAGCCGACCUGAGAGGGUGAUCGGCCACACUGGAACUGAGACACGGUCCAGACUCCUACGGGAGGCAGCAGUAGGGAAUCUUCCGCAAUGGGCGAAAGCCUGACGGAGCAACGCCGCGUGAGUGAUGAAGGUCUUCGGAUCGUAAAACUCUGUUAUUAGGGAAGAACAUAUGUGUAAGUAACUGUGCACAUCUUGACGGUACCUAAUCAGAAAGCCCCGGCUAACUACGUG
rnacentral:rRNA from 1 species